CCAGAAAAGCAACGGCUGGGGAGCUGGAAGCCUGAGAGUGGAUACUUUUGCUGGAACAUUGAGGUGAAAUACAGUACAGCCACAGAACAGCUGCACAUUAUGAAAGAGAAGAAGAAGUGGUUUAAAAACAAACAUAGCUGCCAAGAAGUGCCUUGCCAGGAAAUCACCGGGGCAUUUGGCCUUGUGCUGACAUCUCAUCCAAGGUGUGGCAAUAUCCCAGUAUUACACACCCUGUUCUGUCUUAUUGCUUAAAGUGCAGUUCUUCUCUGAAAAUAACGGAACAAACAGUACAUUUUUAUUCCACACAGCUGCUCCCUUUUUGUAUUAUGUGUUAUAACUGCAUACUGUAAUUACAAAUAUAAUUGUUCA